AUGCUUGCUUCAACAGCACAUAAACUAAAAUUGGAACGAUACAGAGAAGAUUAGCAUGGCCCCUGUGCAAGGAUGACAUGCAAAUUCGUGAAGCGUUCCAUAUUUUU
rnacentral:snRNA from 1 species